GCUUCUUUAGCUCAGUUGGUACGAGCGUCCGACUGAAGAAUUCAGUUUCACCAGUCGCCACUGCGAGCAGUGGACAACUAGGUAUCGGGAGGUCACCUGUUCGACCCAGGUAAGGAGCA
rnacentral:tRNA from 2 species